UAGUGAUUCUCUUCUGGGAGCUGAGACCAUGUAGAUACUUAGUGGUUUACUGCAGUGGAAACUGACACAGCUCUGAUAUAUAUAUAUAUAUAUAUAUAUAUAU